UACGGAGGGUGCAAGCGUUAUCCGGAUUCACUGGGUUUAAAGGGUGCGUAGGCGGCUUAAUAAGUCAUUGGUGAAAGCUCGCAGCUCAACUGCGAAACUGCCAUUGAAACUGUUUAGCUUGAAUGUGGUUGAAGUGGGCGGAAUACAACAUGUAGCGGUGAAAUGCUUAGAUAUGUUUUAGAACACCGAUUGCGAAGGCAGCUCACUAAGCCAAUAUUGACGCUGAGGCACGAAAGCGUGGGUAGCAAACAGG
rnacentral:rRNA from 1 species